CUUGAUGGAGCCGAGCAGCAGGGGCCGUUCGGGGUCGCGGCCCUGGCCGUAGGUGGCGAGCAGCGCCUGUGCCUC
rfam:Streptomyces caelestis strain NRRL B-24567 P188contig85.1, whole genome shotgun sequence.